rnacentral:rRNA from 1 species
CGGCGGACGGGUGAGUAACGCGUGGGCAACCUGCCUCGUACAGGGGGAUAACAGUUGGAAACGGCUGCUAAUACCGCAUAAGCGCACAGUACCGCAUGGUACGGUGUGAAAAACUCCGGUGGUAUGAGAUGGACCCGCGUCUGAUUAGGUAGUUGGUGGGGUAACGGCCUACCAAGCCGACGAUCAGUAGCCGACCUGAGAGGGUGACCGGCCACAUUGGGACUGAGACACGGCCCAA